rnacentral:misc_RNA from 1 species
GUGAAUCAUCAAAUUUUUGAACGCAAAUUGCACUCUCUGGCAUUCCGGAGGGUAUGCCUGUUUGAGGGUCAGUUUAAAUAAAAAUCGAGGUGUUGCUGUUUUGUGACCCAUGGGAAUUGGGUUAUCUUUGACCUUUUAAAAGGUUUAAUUGACUUAAAUUUGAUACCUUUUGCAUCUCAGACUUACAUAGGAUU